GGAGUAUCGACCCUCUCUGUGCCGAAGCUAACGCUUUAAGUGUCCCGCCUGGGGACUACGGCCGCAAGGCUAAAACUCAAAGGAAUUGACGGGGGCCCGCACAAGCAGCGGAGCGUGUGGUUUAAUUCGAUGCAACACGAAAAACCUUACCAAGGUUUGACAUGUCGGAAGUAGUGAACUGAAAGGGGAACG
rnacentral:rRNA from 1 species